rnacentral:rRNA from 1 species
AACCCUUGCCUUUAGUUGCCAGCAGUUCGGCUGGGCACUCUAAAGGGACUGCCGGUGUUAAACCGGAGGAAGGUGGGGAUGACGUCAAGUCCUCAUGGCCUUUAUGACCAGGGCGUACACACGUACUACAAUGGCCGAUACAAAGGGCAGCGACACUGCGAGGUGAAGCCAAUCCCGUAAAAUCGGUCUCAGCCCGGAUUGGAGUCUGCAACUCGACUCCAUGAAGUUGGAAUCGCUAGUAAUCGUGGAUCAGCAUGCCACGGUGAAUACGUUCCCGGGCCUU